rnacentral:rRNA from 1 species
CCUACGGGAGGCAGCAGUGGGGAAUUUUGGACAAUGGGCGAAAGCCUGAUCCAGCCAUGCCGCGUGCAGGAUGAAGGCCUUCGGGUUGUAAACUGCUUUUGUACGGAACGAAAAGGUCUUUUCUAAUAAAGAAGGCCCAUGACGGUACCGUAAGAAUAAGCACCGGCUAACUACGUGCCAGCAGCCGCGGUAAUACGUAGGGUGCAAGCGUUAAUCGGAAUUACUGGGCGUAAAGCGUGCGCAGGCGGUUAUAUAAGACAGUUGUGAAAUCCCCGGGCUCAACCUGGGAACUGCAUCUGUGACUGUAUAGCUAGAGUACGGUAGAGGGGGAUGGAAUUCCGCGUGUAGCAGUGAAAUGCGUAGAUAUGCGGAGGAACACCGAUGGCGAAGGCAAUCCCCUGGACCUGUACUGACGCUCAUGCACGAAAGCGUGGGGAGCAAACAGGAUUAGAUACCCUGGUAGUCCACGCCCUAAACGAUGUCAACUGGUUGUUGGGUCUUCACUGACUCAGUAACGAAGCUAACGCGUGAGUUGACCGCCGUGGGGAGUCGGCGCGAAGGUUGAAACUUGAAAGGAAUUGACGG